AGUUCCUGUACAAUGUCCGAUGGCCUUACCAGUUUCGCAAGAUUGAUGAACUUGUAAACGAGCUUGAUGGUGAUAAAAUUGCUCUUACAAAAUCGACUGAUGGGGAAAAUGUGAACGUUACAGCUGAUGGUGGGAUGGGUGUUGUGGCAGCAGGCUCGGGUGAUCCAAGAGCUGGCUUCUAAUUCUAACUUGACACAGUUUAGCUCAUAAUACAGCUGAUAAGGAGAUACAGGAUUUCCAAAUGUUUUCUGAACUAUUGAGUCUAAUUUACGUACGUCGAAUUUACUCUUAUUUAAGAAAAAUCAGUUCAAUAUUUU
rnacentral:misc_RNA from 1 species